rnacentral:rRNA from 1 species
UACGUAGGGCGCAAGCGUUGUCCGGAAUUAUUGGGCGUAAAGAGCGUGUAGGCGGCCAGACAGGUCCGUUGUGAAAACUCGAGGCUCAACCUCGAGAUGUCGAUGGAAACCGUCUGGCUAGAGUCCGGAAGAGGAGUGUGGAAUUCCUGGUGUAGCGGUGAAAUGCGCAGAUAUCAGGAAGAACACCUAUGGCGAAGGCAGCACUCUGGGACGGUACUGACGCUGAGACGCGAAAGCGUGGGGAGCGAACAGG